rnacentral:rRNA from 1 species
AUUGAACGCUGGCGGCAGGCCUAACACAUGCAAGUCGAGCGAGCGGCGGACGGGUGAGUAAUGUCUGGGAAACUGCCUGAUGGAGGGGGAUAACUACUGGAAACGGUAGCUAAUACCGCAUACCAUCAGAUGUGCCCAGAUGGGAUUUGCUAGUGGGUGGGGUAACGGCUCACCUAGGCGACGAUCCCUAGCUGGUCUGAGAGGAUGACCAGCCACACUGGGACUGAGACACGGUCCAGACUCCUACGGGAGGCAGCAGUGGGGAAUAUUGCACAAUGGGCGCAAGCCUGAUCCAGCCAUGCCGCGUGUCUGAAGAAGGCCUUCGGGUUGUAAAGCACUUUUAGCGGGGAGGCGGUACCUGAAGAAGAAGCACCGGCUAACUCCGUGCCAGCAGCCGCGGUAAUAC